UUAAGCGACUAAGCGUACACGGUGGAUGCCCUGGCAGUCAGAGGCGAUGAAGGACGUGCUAAUCUGCGAUAAGCGCCGGUAAGGUGAUAUGAACCGUUAUAACCGGCGAUUUCCGAAUGGGGAAACCCAGUGUGAUUCGUCACACUAUCAUUAACUGAAUCCAUAGGUUAAUGAGGCGAACCGGGGGAACUGAAACAUCUAAGUACCCCGAGGAAAAGAAAUCAACCGAGAUUCCCCCAGUAGCGGCGAGCGAACGGGGAGGAGCCCAGAGCCUGAAUCAGCAUGUGUGUUAGUGGAAGCGUCUGGAAAGGCGCGCGAUACAGGGUGACAGCCCCGUACACAAAAGCGCAUGUGUUGUGAGCUCGAUGAGUAGGGCGGGACACGUGGUAUCCUGUCUGAAUAUGGGGGGACCAUCCUCCAAGGCUAAAUACUCCUGACUGACCGAUAGUGAACCAGUACCGUGAGGGAAAGGCGAAAAGAACCCCGGCGAGGGGAGUGAAAAAGAACCUGAAACCGUGUACGUACAAGCAGUGGGAGCCCCACCACUAAGCCAGUGGUGAACUCCACAUACGCAUCCUUUGCUGAGGAUACGGUUAACGGAGCGCAAGCGACGUUCAACCGCAAAAGAAGCAGAGGGGGCUUAGUGGUGGGGUGACUGCGUACCUUUUGUAUAAUGGGUCAGCGACUUAUAUUCUGUAGCAAGGUUAACCGUAUAGGGGAGCCGCAGGGUGACUGCGUACCUUUUGUAUAAUGGGUCAGCGACUUAUAUUCUGUAGCAAGGUUAACCGUAUAGGGGAGCCGCAGGGAAACCGAGUCUUAACCGGGCGUUAAGUUGCAGGGUAUAGACCCGAAACCCGGUGAUCUAGCCAUGGGCAGGUUGAAGGUUGGGUAACACUAACUGGAGGACCGAACCGACUAAUGUUGAAAAAUUAGCGGAUGACCUGUGGCUGGGGGUGAAAGGCCAAUCAAACCGGGAGAUAGCUGGUUCUCCCCGAAAGCUAUUUAGGUAGCGCCUCGUGAAUUCAUCUCCGGGGGUAGAGCACUGUUUCGGCUAGGGGGCCAUCCCGGCUUACCAACCCGAUGCAAACUGCGAAUACCGGAGAAUGUUAUCACGGGAGACACACGGCGGGUGCUAACGUCCGUCGUGAAGAGGGAAACAACCCAGACCGCCAGCUAAGGUCCCAAAGUCAUGGUUAAGUGGGAAACGAUGUGGGAAGGCCCAGACAGCCAGGAUGUUGGCUUAGAAGCAGCCAUCAUUUAAAGAAAGCGUAAUAGCUCACUGGUCGAGUCGGCCUGCGCGGAAGAUGUAACGGGGCUAAACCAUGCACCGAAGCUGCGGCAGCGAGUAAUAGCUCACUGGUCGAGUCGGCCUGCGCGGAAGAUGUAACGGGGCUAAACCAUGCACCGAAGCUGCGGCAGCGAACGUAUCACUUAAAGCGAUUCAGCGGGUUACGAUUGACGGAGCGAAGCGACGUCAAAGCGUAUACAAAGUCGAGUCGGUUUAAGGAUACGUUCGUUGGGUAGGGGAGCGUUCUGUAAGCCUGUGAAGGUGUGUCGUGAGGCAUGCUGGAGGUAUCAGAAGUGCGAAUGCUNGUUGGGUAGGGGAGCGUUCUGUAAGCCUGUGAAGGUGGCCUGUGAGGGUUGCUGGAGGUAUCAGAAGUGCGAAUGCUGACAUAAGUAACGAUAAAGCGGGUGAAAAGCCCGCUCGCCGGAAGACCAAGGGUUCCUGUCCAACGUUAAUCGGGGCAGGGUGAGUCGACCCCUAAGGCGAGGCCGAAAGGCGUAGUCGAUGGGAAACGGGUUAAUAUUCCCGUACUUGGUGUUACUGCGAAGGGGGGACGGAGAAGGCUAUGUUGGCCGGGCGACGGUUGUCCCGGUUUAAGCGUGUAGGUGUGUGUUCCAGGUAAAUCCGGUUCACUUUAACACUGAGGCGUGAUGACGAGGCACUACGGUGCUGAAGCAACAAAUGCCCUGCUUCCAGGAAAAGCCUCUAAGCAUCAGGUAACAUCAAAUCGUACCCCAAACCGACACAGGUGGUCAGGUAGAGAAUACCAAGGCGCUUGAGAGAACUCGGGUGAAGGAACUAGGCAAAAUGGUGCCGUAACUUCGGGAGAAGGCACGCUGACAUGUAGGUGAAGUGAUUUACUCAUGGAGCUGAAGUCAGUCGAAGAUACCAGCUGGCUGCAACUGUUUAUUAAAAACACAGCACUGUGCAAACACGAAAGUGGACGUAUACGGUGUGACGCCUGCCCGGUGCCGGAAGGUUAAUUGAUGGGGUCAGCGCAAGCGAAGCUCCUGAUCGAAGCCCCGGUAAACGGCGGCCGUAACUAUAACGGUCCUAAGGUAGCGAAAUUCCUUGUCGGGUAAGUUCCGACCUGCACGAAUGGCGUAAUGAUGGCCAGGCUGUCUCCACCCGAGACUCAGUGAAAUUGAACUCGCUGUGAAGAUGCAGUGUACCCGCGGCAAGACGGAAAGACCCCGUGAACCUUUACUAUAGCUUGACACUGAACAUUGAGCCUUGAUGUGUAGGAUAGGUGGGAGGCUUUGAAGCGUGGACGCCAGUCUGCGUGGAGCCGGCCUUGAAAUACCACCCUUUAAUGUUUGAUGUUCUAACGUGGACCCGUGAUCCGGGUUGCGGACAGUGUCUGGUGGGUAGUUUGACUGGGGCGGUCUCCUCCUAAAGAGUAACGGAGGAGCACGAAGGUUGGCUAAUCCUGGUCGGACAUCAGGAGGUUAGUGCAAUGGCAUAAGCCAGCUUGACUGCGAGCGUGACGGCGCGAGCAGGUGCGAAAGCAGGUCAUAGUGAUCCGGUGGUUCUGAAUGGAAGGGCCAUCGCUCAACGGAUAAAAGGUACUCCGGGGAUAACAGGCUGAUACCGCCCAAGAGUUCAUAUCGACGGCGGUGUUUGGCACCUCGAUGUCGGCUCAUCACAUCCUGGGGCUGAAGUAGGUCCCAAGGGUAUGGCUGUUCGCCAUUUAAAGUGGUACGCGAGCUGGGUUUAGAACGUCGUGAGACAGUUCGGUCCCUAUCUGCCGUGGGCGCUGGAGAACUGAGGGGGGCUGCUCCUAGUACGAGAGGACCGGAGUGGACGCAUCACUGGUGUUCGGGUUGUCAUGCCAAUGGCACUGCCCGGUAGCUAAAUGCGGAAGAGAUAAGUGCUGAAAGCAUCUAAGCACGAAACUUGCCCCGAGAUGAGUUCUCCCUGAGACUUAAAGUCUCCUGAAGGAACGUUGAAGACGACGACGUUGAUAGGCCGGGUGUGUAAGCGCAGCGAUGCGUUGAGCUAACCGGUACUAAUGAACCGUGAGGCUUAACCUU
rnacentral:rRNA from 1 species